GCCCUUGUAGUUCAACGGAUAGAACGCGGGUUUCCUAAACCUGAAAUCGAGGUUCGAUUCCUCGCAGGGGCA
rnacentral:tRNA from 1 species